rnacentral:piRNA from 1 species
AACAUUGGAUAUAGGUAUAGCAAC